rnacentral:lncRNA from 1 species
ACAAGUCAUCACCAUCGGGGCCGAGAGGUUCCGUUGCCCAGAAGUCCUCUUCCAGCCAUCAUUGAUUGGAAUGGAAGCUGCUGGAAUUCAUGAAACCACCUACAACUCCAUCAUGAAGUGUGAUGUGGAUAUCAGGAAGGAUCUUUAUGGCAAUAUUGUGCUUAGUGGUGGUUCCACCAUGUUCCCUGGUAUUGCAGACAGGAUGAGCAAGGAGAUUACUGCUCUUGCUCCAAGCAGCAUGAAGAUCAAGGUGGUAGCACCGCCAGAGAGGAAAUACAGUGUCUGGAUUGGAGGGUCAAUCCUUGCAUCUCUCAGUACCUUCCAGCAGGUAAAUAUUUUUAUUUGUUCAAGUUCUUUUUACUUAAUUCUUCUGUAGUUAGUCAUGGUAUUUAUAAUCAUGUUGGCUUUUUGCUUGGCAACGAGUAAUGACCCUGUGCUUUAUGUUUAAAUUACCAGAUGUGGAUUUCGAAGGGCGAGUACGAUGAAUCUGGUCCUUCAAUCGUCCACAGGAAGUGCUUCUAAAUCCAACAAAGUCGAAGUCUUGGUGAGUCAUUAUGUCGGAAUUUCCUGUCCUUUCAUGCGAACUCAAGCUUCAUGGAAUUGGUGGAGAGCAUGUUGGGGGUUUUUAUGUACCAUAGCUUUUCGAGAAGUAUGAUUCAGAUUGUUGUCGCCAUGUCUGAGAAGCAAUGCUGUCGUAGUCCUCUCCGUAUGUGGUGAGCAGAACAUCGGUUUUGAAGUUGUUGCUAGUCAGCCAGUCUCUUUCUAGGAUGUUUUAAAAGGAGCUGGGAGUGUUGUUUUUCUCUUACUUCGUUUGCUCAUUUUGGUGAUAUAUAAGUUUUUUUCCCUGGAACAGUAAUGUCAAUAUUGUGUGAGGAAUAUUGUAUGCCGUUUGAGGUUGGGUACUCAUCAAAGUUUCUUGGUAGAGAUCUGUUUCUGUCUGUUAUAAUCUUCACUCUUGUUCCGAGCAUGCUGUGCCAGGGAUGUAGUUGCUAGCAUUUGGCUGAGACUCAGAUUGAAUGUGUACUCAAUAUCUGCUUGAAGGUGCUUGAUGUGAUUCUUGCUCGAACUUGCAUCGUCUAUAUUAUCCAUUAGAACCAAGAAUUAAAAGGGUGCGUCGCCGGUCUGGAAAAUAGAAGGAAAUUCGAUCGAUUUGAGUAUAUACUGUUAUGCCUAUGUUCAUGUGGGUUAGAAGUUUCAUCAGGAGAUUGGGAAAGCAUGAAAGCAUAUGAGGACCGUCGUGUGCUUUGUCAGUAUCACAAGCGGUUUGUGAUAUGAUGAAUCAAUGCUCUCUUAACGUAAAGUAGUUAAAAGUGGUGGAUCGGGUGGGCUUAUGUCCGGUCAAGUCUCUCAAAUUGACUCAUUUUUAUACAAUGCAGAGUUAGUGACUUAUGCUCGGAUUCAUAUUGCCAAAAUGCUUUCAUAUUUAACUAAAUCUAAUAAAAAUUCAUGCUCAAAUUGAGAUGAGAGAGCGGAACGAGCCAACACAAGAUUAAGUGAGCACGAGAUCGAGUUGACUGCAAGAGAGAAUCAUAAAAGUGGGUUGAUGUAAAGCUUGAUCCGUAAGAGAGAAUCAUGGAAGUGGAUUAAGAUAAUCAUAAAAGUGGGUUGAUGUAAAGCUUGAUCUGUAAGAGAGAAUCAUGGAAGUAGAUUAGAUGUUAGUAAGUUCCGAAUCAUAUAAUAAAUAUCUUAUUUUUUUAUUUUUGUUAUUUUAAAUCAAUUUCUAAUUCAUUUAAUAAAUAUAAUUAAUUUAUAUAAUAAUUCAGCCUAUUAAAUAUGGGUUAAAAAAUAAUAACUUAACCCAUGGGUUAAAAAAUAAUAACUUAACCCAUUAAAUAUGGGUAAGGACUAGGUCUAUAAUCCAUUUUAAUUAGCUUACUUUUAACUUUAAGGGCGCGAAUAAUAACCAUGGCUAGAAAUUGAUUUCUGGAAGAUAAAUAAAUUUUUCUAUUUCUAUUUUUAAAUGAGUUUCUAAACAAAAAUAUCCGUUUGAUAAUGACAUAAAAUUUCUAGUCUAAAAAUAUAAAUUCGUUUCAUAACGAUACAAAAUUUCUCCCUUUCGACUGGUAGCAGUCGAUGGGGCCGACAAACGACGGCGACGGCGGAUGGAUGACCAGUUUGUAGCAAAGACAAACAAUGAGAAUAAUUUUUAUUUCUCAUUUCUGUUCUAGAAAUAGAAAAGUAGAAAAUUUUUAUUUCUAAUUUUUAUUCCAAAUCUAUUUCUGGAACAAAAAUCUAUUUUAGAAAUAGAAAAAUGAAAUAAUUUUAUCAAACGGAUUUCUAUUCAAAAAAUAAAUAUGAAAUAGAAAAAUUGUUUCUAUAACAAAAAUUUUGAUUUAUCAUGCAGCCCUUAGUCUUGCCGAUUUCUUGCGUCCAUUUCUUUUAUAUUCUACAGAUGUAAUGUGAGGGUCAUGGUAGGUUUUGUCCUUCAUUAAUGUGCAUUAGAGAAGACGGACCUCGGCAGUUUAAGCAAAAGCCAAAAAAAAAGAUAAUAAGAAUUAGAUGCACGAAUCAACCGGCAAAGAUUUAGCUUACCGGUGAUGUUAUAAUAUUAUUUGAGACUAGAUCAAUCACUUAAGGACAUUAUUUGAAGAAAAAAUCAACUUCGAAGACUAUUAUGAGAAAUCCCCCUUAUUUGAGGUUUUUAUUGGAAAUUUUUCUAUUUUGAUGCCCGCUAAAACUAAUAUGGAGUUGAUUUUAGUGGGGUAUUUAUACAUAAAUCAUGCCAAAGAGGUACAAUAGAACAAACUGAUGCUGCCCCAUGUGACAGAAAGACAAACAUGCCGCCAAUAAUAAUUUAAGCAUAGCUUGGAAUCAGCUUUUUCUUCUCUAAUCUUUUUUUUUUUUUUAGUACCUCUUUGAACUUUUCAAAUUCACCCCCCCCCCCCCAGUUGCACAAAAUCCUAGACAAUCUUAAGAGAAUUAAAUAACUGCCCCCAACAGAUCCACCGAAUAUUCAAUUUCAAUCCUCAAAUUUGAAAUCCUUGUACUCUGGUCUUUUGAAUUGAAUCACGUGGCGUUGUUUCUCGUUAGUGGCGCUCCUAUAUGUGUUGAUGUGAAUGCAACUACUGCUCAUUUAAUUGCUUCAAGUGCAUCAGACAAUUCAAUUUUUUUUUCUUUUUUGUCUAUAUAUCUUUAUCUAUUUUUGAAUUUUUAUAUUUAUAAGUGCAACAAAAUAUGCUGAAAAGUUCAAGAAAAUCAAUCCUUAUAUGAGGAAUUUCAAAUUAUUUUAAUUUGUUCUAUUAUUGGUCAAGCUCAGAAGAAAAACAAGAGAACAAGUGCACCUUAUUUUUAUUUUAAAGUUGGAAUUAAACUAGCAAUUAAUCAAAGAAUGUGCGAUUUUCUAAAAGUGUUUUAGCGAUUUCAUCCUUUCUCUAAAGUUUCUUUUUCUUUCCGAUAUUGAAUGAAAAGUGUGGGAGAUUCUAGCAUUUUUACAAAGAAAUUAAAUGGAAUAAAAUAUAAUCGAUUCUACCAUGAAUCGGUUUAUGAUUAUGAAUAAACGAACUAAAUCUCAUGACUUUGUCUUCACUUUGUUUUAUCAAUCUUUAGAAUUUAGAAAGUAUUUUAAUUUCGUUAGCCCCACACACAUUCCUAUGAAAGGGAGCGUGACUGUAAAGGAGGGCACUUAGAUGGAAAAGUUGAUGGCCCUUUUCCAUCUAAGUUUACAUGAACUUGAUAGGCUAUAGCUGUCAAAUGUUAAAAGGCUUCGUCUCAUGAAUAAUCUUCUAAAUACAUGAAAGUGGGUAUAUUGAUUUUUUUAUUUUUUUUUGUCAUAUGUUGACCAUGUAUACAAGGAAGGGUAGCUUUCAAUGCCAAUCUCACCUUCACCUACUUCCCACUUGUUAUUUCCUCUUUCAUUUUUUUUUUCAUUAUGUAGUUUUUCCUUUAAUUAUAUAAUAUGCUGUUGUCUACACAUACAUAUAUAUAUUACCAUGUUCUUGGCAAUAAUUGACAUAACAAAACAUAUUGCAGCGCACCAUAUGAGAUACAAGUUGAUUUAAUAUAAAAGUAGAUUUUGCAUGCGCAUACACUUAAAUAUAACUUUCAUUAGAUAUGUGUAAAUUGUCAAUUCUUAACAUGAUAUGAAAAAAAAAAGUGUGUUUCAAUGUGACGUUGUUGGGUACAAUUAAAAUCGGCAGAAAGGCAAAUACCUAUUUCUAGCCAAAAUGGAAAAAAUCAUUUUGAUAUCGAAAAGUUGUAAAAGAGUUCAAAUGAUUUUAAAAGUUACUUAUAUAUAUUUUAAAGAUUUAUAAUAGACAGAUUCCAAACCUCAAAUUCCAAUAAGAUCAAACUUAAAUUCGCACAACAAUCUUCUUAAAGUUCUACUGCGAAAUUAGUGAGAUGUUAAGUUUUCUCAAUUUUUAUUUUUGUAAAAUCACCGAACAAUUUUAAAUGUCGACGUGUACGAGUUUUCAAAGAAUCAAAGCGUUCAGUCUAAAAAGUCAACUUGGUUAAAAAGCAAUAAACAUAAUAGACAUUAAUUAUAUUUGACGUAUUGUAAUUAUUUUAGAUGGACAAAUGAGAUAUUGAGCAUGCACCACUUAAAACGUUUUUAAAAUUCAUGUUCAGCCAAACAUUCCUAUCUUUAAUCAAGUUGGAGAGGAAAUAAAUUGAAGUAUUGGGAAAAGGAAAAUAGCAUAAACAUCCCCAUCAUGCUGUCAUCAAUCAAUAAGAAGAGUGUUCAUCCAAUCUUUUUGGUGAUCUCUAGCCAAUGGAGUUAGUGCCUUAUUCAUGUUAACUUACCACGCUUUUCCUCUUCUCCCUAUCCUCAUUUUCUAACAUCAAUGAGAGAUAUUAAAAAAAAAAAAAGUACUAAAAAAUAUUAAAAAUUAUUAAAAAUUUAAAAAAUUGAAAAAGGGGAAAAGGGGGAAAAGUGGGGGGGUGGGGAGUGUGUGGGGAGGGUGAGGGAUGAGCCAGGUCACGCUAUCAUUUCUCGUGGUGGGAAUGAUUCCUCCUGCUCUUAAAUUCCCAAAUUUGGGCGUGCCCCCCCACUUCAUUUCAUUUGCAUUUCAAAUCUCUCUCUCUCUCUCUCUAGCUCACUCCGGCCGAGAAGGAAAACCAGAGCCCGCCGGUGGUCCGGGAGGCUCGGCUUCGGAUCUUCUCCGUUCGUCUCCCUGCUCCCACGUAAGCAACCUCCGAUCCGGCAUUUGGGUUCCCCCUCCUUUCCGAUCCGGGCUUCCAGAUCUGGAAUUUGAAAUGAUUCUUGGGUCCCGAUGCGUGCGUGCGUGCUCGCUCUUCGGUUCUUGUUGUUUCUUGGGUAGAUCGGUUCUGGGUCGAUGCGAUUCGGGGCGUGCGUUCAUCUGGGUGUGGGAAAGUCGCGGGCUUUUCGUCCCGGGUCUUGGGACUUCGCCCCGUUGGGUUUUCUUGGCUUUUGCGGGGGUUGCUUGUGUCGCCGAUCUGUGGGUUGGUGACGGAUCCUUUGCUUGUCGUUGGAAAAUGGGUCGUUGGAUGUCUCAUGCAUGAUCGCGCGCGUCGAUCGGUUGGGUCUGGUUCUUGUGUUUCUCGAUCUGUAUGUGUGUGGUUUGAUUCUUUGAUUUUCUUGGUUCUUGGUUCCGUCUUGUGGUGGUUUGCCUAGGCUGAGUUGUGGGUAGUUUCCACUUCUUGACGGUUGGCUGUGUGAUGUGUCUUGAUUUCUGCUCGGGGACUCUUGACCUUUUCUUUCGUAAGACAGGGUCUACGUCAAAAGAUUCUCUUUUUCGUUUGAUGAUACGGGAUGAUUACCGGAAAGUGGUAUGGAUUUUACUGGAAUUGAUGAUAGGAUCUCUUUGAUUACACACGUGGAAAUGAAAAUGCGGCAAUCUAGCUUGUUCUUUGUUUUUUGCCCGUGAUCUCCUCCCAUGUGGUGAAUUGCAUUGUCAUGGCCGGGACACCAAGUCCAUCAUCGUUCCAAAUAUUAGUUGUCGAACGAACCCAACAAUGGAAACACUUGGACGUCUGAUUCAUUUGCGGAAAUAGAGUCUCUGCAUGAUUUGCAGUGAUCUAGAUGGGGUGAAAUCCUGAGACGCUUCUUUUCAAUUGUAUCUUGCUGACUUUUAGGUUUAGAGGUUCUAGUAUUAGGUGCUGUUAUUUGAGUUCCUGAAGAUGAGUGGCAGUAGCUUGAAGCUACAAGACAAGGAAAAUGAUUUCUUCAAGCUUAAAAUGUAGGACCUAUGGUUGUAAAGUUUUUGAAAGGACAAAAAAGAGAAAUCGAUUUAUAAAUACAACUUCUUGCAAUAAUAAGAAUAGUAAGGAAAGAUGAAGUACUUUUUGUGUGCAUUUGAAUUGGUCAGUAAUCUUUUGUGCCUCGAUUAAGCUCAUUAAUUUGUAGCUACUUGCAGGUUAAUAUCUUUUGAAAAUGGCCGAUGCAGAGGAUAUUCAGCCCCUCGUUUGCGACAAUGGGACCGGAAUGGUCAAGGUUGGUUGCUACCAUUGUCUUAAAAAAAAAAAAUGUAGAAAGUUGAUUUUCCUGGUUUCAGAAAUAUGACUAGCUAUAUGGGCUCUUUAUCAUAUGUUUGUUUGCAGGCUGGAUUCGCAGGUGAUGAUGCUCCUAGGGCAGUCUUUCCCAGUAUUGUUGGUAGGCCACGGCAUACUGGUGUCAUGGUUGGAAUGGGUCAGAAGGAUGCCUAUGUUGGUGAUGAAGCCCAAUCUAAAAGAGGUAUUCUUACCUUGAAAUAUCCCAUUGAACAUGGUAUUGUCAGCAACUGGGAUGAUAUGGAGAAAAUCUGGCAUCACACCUUCUACAAUGAGCUCCGUGUUGCUCCGGAAGAGCAUCCAGUCCUUCUAACUGAAGCACCUCUCAAUCCGAAGGCCAACAGAGAGAAGAUGACUCAAAUCAUGUUUGAGACUUUCAAUGUGCCGGCCAUGUACGUUGCAAUCCAGGCUGUUCUGUCUCUGUAUGCCAGUGGUCGUACAACUGGUACGGAAUGUUCUUCUUUCUUGUCAAAUUUCAUAUCUGUGAAUCUUGCCCUUGUUUCCAUGUCUAGUUUUAUUAAGUAUAAAUUCCUUUAUUCAUCUAAACAGGUAUUGUGCUUGAUUCUGGUGAUGGUGUGAGUCACACUGUCCCAAUCUAUGAGGGUUAUGCUCUUCCACAUGCCAUUCUCCGUCUUGAUCUCGCUGGUCGUGAUCUUACUGAUGCACUCAUGAAGAUUCUCACUGAGAGGGGUUACAUGUUCACCACCACUGCUGAACGGGAAAUUGUCCGUGACAUGAAGGAAAAGCUCGCAUAUGUUGCCCUUGACUAUGAACAAGAGCUGGAAACUGCUAAGAGCAGCUCCUCUGUCGAGAAAAACUAUGAGCUUCCUGAUGGACAAGUCAUCACAAUUGGGGCUGAGAGAUUCCGCUGUCCAGAGGUCCUCUUCCAGCCAUCGUUGAUUGGAAUGGAGGCUGCCGGCAUUCACGAGACAACCUAUAACUCCAUCAUGAAGUGCGAUGUCGAUAUCAGGAAGGAUCUUUAUGGAAAUAUUGUGCUUAGUGGUGGUUCUACUAUGUUCCCAGGUAUCGCAGAC